UGGUAGGGACGAUUAUUGGGCUUAAAGCGUCCGUAGCCGGCUUAGCAAGUCUCCUGUUAAAUUCAGCGACCUAAUCGUUGAGCCGCGGGAGAUACUGUUAGGCUAGGAGGCGGGAGAGGCCGACGGUAUUCUCGGGGUAGGGGUGAAAUCCUAUAAUCCCGGGAGGACCACCAGUGGCGAAG
rnacentral:rRNA from 1 species